rnacentral:rRNA from 1 species
GACAGAGGCCUCAAGCGUUAGGCGGAAUCACUGGGCUUAAAGCGUGUGUAGGCGGAUCGUUAAGUGUCUUGUGAAAUCCCCACGGCUCACCCGUGGAACUGCUGGGCAUACUGGCGAUCUUGGGCCAACUAGGGGCAACUGGAACAAGCGGUGGAGCGGUGAAAUGCGUAGAUAUCGCUUGGAACGCCAACGGUGAAAACAGGUUGCUGGGGUUGUGCCGACGCU